GAUGAACGCUGGCGGCGUGCCUAAUACAUGCAAGUCGAGCGAACAGACGAGGAGCUUGCUCCUCUGACGUUAGCGGCGGACGGGUGAGUAACACGUGGAUAACCUACCUAUAAGACUGGGAUAACUUCGGGAAACCGGUGCUAACACCGGAUAAUAUAUUGAACCGCAUGGUUCAAUAGUGAAAGACGGUUUUGCUGUCACUUAUAGAUGGAUCCGCGCCGCAUUAGCUAGUUGGUAAGGUAACGGCUUACCAAGACAACGAUGCGUAGCCGACCUGAGAGGCUGGUCGGCCACACUGGAACUGAGACACGGUCCAGACUCCUACGGUAGGCAGCAGUAGGGACUCUUCCGCAAUGGGCGAAAGCCUGACGGAGCAACGCCGCGGGAGUGAUGAAGGUCUUCGGAUCGUAAAACUCUGUUAUUAGGGAAGAACAAAUGUGUAAGUAACUAUGCACGUCUUGACGGUACCUAAUCAGAAAGCCCCGGCUAACUACGUG
rnacentral:rRNA from 1 species